AACCCUACUAGCUGGGCUGGGCCCCUUACCUAGGGAAAAGAGGGUUUUGAAAUUUUAUUUAGAACCCAAGGCCCUUAGUCCUUCACUUAUUGUGGCCUGGGGACAGUGGAUGAGGCCGUCAAGACUCUAUGGUAAUGCAGGUCAUGCUGCAGCUGGUGGCACUCAUGGCUCAGCUAGUGGAGAUAAGGUUGGAACUACUGAGGCUUCAUUUGCAAACGCUCCAGGAUAAAACCUCCGUGCUCCCCACCUCCAUACUGCUAUUGAUCUUGCUGCCAAAACCGUUCGAGUAGGACUCUAACCAACUACCAGACCUCCAUCUACAAAUCCAGUCCCACGUGUAAACUUAGUGUUUGGGUCCUGUGAACACUACAAGCAGUCACUGCCUUCUAUUUGUUGGGAGUAGGGGACUGAGCAAUACGUGAUUCCCCUCCAAUGGCCUGGGAUAUCCCUUUUUGGUGUUGUGUCAGGUUCUAGUCUGUCUUACGAUUGGCGUGGUUGCUUGGCUCAAAUGGAAUUGAGGAUAGGACCAUCUGCUAUCAUUCUGUAUUCUUUUUGGCUUGAAGGAUUUUUAUAGGCCCCUCUGUGACUGGAUUAUAAAUGAUCACCUGCUUGCCACAUAGGGGGAUGUAUGUAAAACUGGAGCUCAUCUUUUGAUGUAUGGAUGCUGGACAAUGGAGAGGACAUGUUUGACUUUAAGUGAUAGCCUUGGUGCUGAGAGAGCUGAAGCAGUUGGGUCCAUCUGGAAGCAUUUAAAUUCCUAAUUGGCACAUGCUGUACAUCACGUGAUAAAGAAGCCAGGAGAAGAUAUGAAUACAAGAGGGGGUUCUCAUUUAGAAACAUCAUAAAGAACUGAGGAGAAGAUAUGAAUAUAAGAGAGGGCUCUCAUUUAGAAACAUCAAAUACUCCUCCUCUGACUUCUUGAUAGGUUCUUUAAAUUGCAGGGUAAUGAAAGAAGUGCGAGAAACUCAAUUGGGAGUGGAUUACAAAAGACUUUUUCCAUCAAAGUUUUUGUUCAUUGAGAUAAUUGUAGAUUUACAUGCAAUUGUAAGAAAUAACCCAGAGAGAUCCCUUGUGCACUUUUCCAGUAUCCCCCAAUGGUAACAAUUUGCAAAAUUAUAGUAUAAUAUCACAACCACAAUUGAUACAAUCUACUGAUCUUAUUUAAAUUUGUUCCACUUGUAGUCUUUUGUGUGUCUGUGUCUCUGUAUUAAAUUCUACACAAUUUUAUCACCUGUGUAGGUGUGUGUAUCCACUACAACAGGCAAGAUACUGAACAGUUCCAAAACCAUAAGAUCUUUCAUGUUGCCCUUUUGUAGCCACACUCACUUCCUUCUGUCCCCAUUCCCAAACCUUUGGCAACUAUAAUCUGUCUUUCAUUUCUAAAAUUUUGUCACUUCAAAAAUGUCAUAUAAAUGGAAUCAUACAGUAUGUAACGUUUUGGGGUUGGCCUUUUUUUUUUUCUGUAGCUGAGGAAGAUUUUCGCUGAGCUAACAUCUGUGCCAAUCUUCCUUUAUUUUGUUUGUGGGUCACCACCACAACAUGGCUGCCCAGUGGUGUAGAUCCGCACUGGGGAACCAAACCUGGGCCGCCAAAGCAAAGUGCACCAAACUUAACCACCAUGCCGUGGGGCUGGACUCUGGGACUGGCUUUUCCUGCUUUCUAAUUCCCUGGAGAUUCAUCCAAGUUUUUGUGUAUCUAUAGUUCAUUCCUUGUUAUUGCUGAGUAGUAUUCCUUUGCAUGUAUGUGUCACAGUUUUUUUAACCAUCCAUCCCUUGGAGGACAUCUGGGCUGAUUCCUGUUUUUGGCUGUUACAAAUCACCUAUGAACAUUUAUGUGCAGGUUUUUUGUGUGAACAUAAGUUUUCAUUUCUCUGGGACAAAUGCUCAGCAGUGCCUUUGUUGGGUCAUAUAGUAUUCGUAUGUUUAGUUUUUAAGAAACUGCCAAGUGUUUUUCCAGAAUGACUGUACCAUUUACAUUCCCAUUGUAUCCUUGCUAGCAUUUGGUAUUGGCACUAUUUUUUAUUGUAGCCAUUCUGAUAGGUGUGUAGUGAUACCUUAUUGUGGUUUUAGUUUGUAUUUAAACAAUGACUAAUAACGUUAAAUCUUUGCAUGUGCUUAUUUGCCAUCUGAAUAUCUUUUUCAGUGAAAUGUUUUUUUGCAUUUUUUAAUUGGAUUGCUUUUUUCUGUUGAGUUUUGAGAAUUCUUUAUAUAUUUUAGAUACUGGCCCUUUGUCAUAUAUAUGGGUUGCUGAUAUUUUCUUCCAGUCUGUAACUUGUCAUUUCAUGCUCUUCCUGUGGGCUUUUGCAGAACCAAAAAAUUUAAUUUUGGUGAGGUGCAAUUGAUCAGUUUUUCCUUUUAUAGUCAUAAUUUUAGUGUCAAGUCUAGGAGCUCUUUGCAUGGUCCUACAUCCCAAAGAUUUUCUCUCUUUUUUUUUUUUAAAGUUUCAUAGUUAUAUUGUUACAGGCUCUUAACAUCAGCCCUGAUAUCAGUUCCCCACAUUGAACCCAGCGUGUAUGGGGUUAAAACUAAAACCCACCACCCCCUUUCCUGCUUCUCUAGCUCCACUCAUAUGUAAAUACCUGUUUCUUUAAACUUGGACUCUUUGAGCUUUACAACUAAAUGGGAGUUCCAAAUUGUUAAAAGCCCAGGUGGCCUGGAGUUGGAGGCACUCUAAAGUUUAGCUGAUCACGUGUCCUUGAGUUUGCCAGGAAAGCCGCUGUCUCAAGAGUAUCAAGGAGCGGAGGCUUCCCACACCUCAACUCCUGGACUCCCGGUGCUCGAACCUGCCUCAAACAGGAAGACGAGACAAGAGACAACGGCGAAGAACGCCCACCUGCCAUCCUCCUAUCUCACCCUCCCCCCGCCUUGCUGCAAGCAGCCUCUCAAGGCCAAACGCAGGCUGGUGGGAAAGCACCAAGCUGCACAAGCUACAUGUUCCCCCCUCCCCUACCCAAAACCCCAAAUAAAAAUCCCUACCCAUUCCUCAUCGGGGAGCUAGCAAUUUUUGAGGCAUGAGCCCUUGCUUUGCUCCCUGUGCCUGGCAUAGUAAAAACCUUUCCUCUUCCACUCAAGACUCUGUUCUCGUUAUUCGGAUUGGCAUCGGGUUCAGAGACCGAACUUUCGGUUACAAUAUAGUAUAGAGUUAAGUCUUGAGUUAAUUUGUGUAUAACAUGUAAAGUUUAGGUUGACACUGAUUUUUUGUU
rnacentral:lncRNA from 1 species